rnacentral:ncRNA from 1 species
GCUGAUGCCGCAUCGCGGACAUCCCGGACGAGCGCCGUCGUACCCGGCCCGACAAGACGACUGCACC